rnacentral:rRNA from 1 species
GAAUUCGAUUCGGUGUGACAAGGCCCGGGAACGUAUUCACCGUGGCAUGGCUGAUCCACGAUUACUAGCGAUUCCGGCUUCAUGCAGUCGAGUUGCAGACUACAAUCCGAACUUAGACCGGCUUUUGGCGAUUGGCGCACCCUCGCGGGUUGGCGACGCUUUGUACCGGCCAUUGUAGCACGUGUGUAGCCCUGGACAUAAAGGCCAUGCUGACUUGACGUCAUCCCCACCUUCCUCCGGUUUGUCACCGGCAGUCUCUUCAGAGUGCCCAGCAUAACCUGAUGGCAACAGAAGACAAGGGUUGCGCUCGUAGCGGGACUUAACCCAACAUCUCACGACACGAGCUGACGACAGCCAUGCAGCACCUCUACAGACGUCCUUGCGGAAGCCUACUUUCGUAGGAUGUCAUCUGCAGUUCAAGCCUGGGUAAGGUUCUUCGCGUUAAUCACUA